AUGGCGGCGGACGCCCAGUCAGGAACGAGCGGCGGAAGUGGCGCCGCAAUGAAGUCAGAUCUUGAUGAAUUUCUGGAACAAUUGAACUUGGACAAAGAGGAAUGCGAUGACUUGGUUAUCGACGCAGACGAUCCUGAGAUCAACGAAAGCGUUAGAUGGCUUGCCCUAGCUAGGGUUCAUAUGGACAAAUCCUUCAGCCAAACUGCUUUCUACAGGGAGAUGCGUGCGGCGUGGAACACAGCCCAGCCAGUUAGGUUUCAACCGGUGGGACAGAAUCUGUUCGUGGCACAAGCUUCAUGCCUUGGAGAUUGGGAGCGCAUGCUGGAUCAAGGACCGUGGUUGUUCAGGAAUAUGCUUGUGUUGAUGUGCCCAUAUGAUGGCUUUACGAAAGCUGAGGAGGUACCAAUGGUGUUUAUGCCCAUUUGGUUACAAAUCCAUAAACUGCCUGAGGGGUUCUGCAAGCAGAAGAUUGUGCAACAUCUGCUCAGGAACUCCGAUGAAAUCUUGGAGAUGAGACUUAAUGGGAAUAUGAGAGGAGACUAUGUUAGAGUGAGGAUCCGUCAUGAUGUUAGCAAGCCUCUUACAAAGUUUGUUAGUAUUGUUCGGGGCCAUGAGAGGCAGGUGUUCUUGGUUCGUUAUGAGAAACUGGUCCGCUUUUGCAGUGUAUGCGGAUUAAUUGGUCAUGAGUAUAAAGAA
rnacentral:rRNA from 1 species